rnacentral:rRNA from 1 species
AUUGAACGCUGGCGGCAUGCCUUACACAUGCAAGUCGAACGGUAACAGGUCUUCGGACGCUGACGAGUGGCGAACGGGUGAGUAAUACAUCGGAACGUGCCUAGUAGUGGGGGAUAACUACUCGAAAGAGUGGCUAAUACCGCAUGAGAUCUACGGAUGAAAGCAGGGGAUCGCAAGACCUUGUGCUACUAGAGCGGCCGAUGGCAGAUUAGGUAGUUGGUGGGAUAAAAGCUUACCAAGCCGACGAUCUGUAGCUGGUCUGAGAGGACGAUCAGCCACACUGGGACGAGGACCCGGCCCAGACUCCUACGGGAGGCAGCAGUGGGGAAUUUUGGACAAUGGGCGAAAGCCUGAUCCAGCAAUGCCGCGUGCAGGAUGAAGGCCUUCGGGUUGUAAACUGCUUUUGUACGGAACGAAAAGCCCUGGGUUAAUACCCUGGGGUCAUGACGGUACCGUAAGAAUAAGCACCGGCUAACUACGUGCCAGCCGCCGCAGUAG